rnacentral:lncRNA from 1 species
CUCGCUAAGAGACGGAGUAGUUGGCAAGGAUGCUAACGAUUUAUGGAAUGUGUCUUUGGAAAGGAUUAAAGCAAAAAACAUGUUGCUUCUUACCAGCUCUGAGCUAGGAGUAUAGCUCUAAGGGGUGAGCAUUAAAUUUUAAGAAUUCAGUAUGUAAAACUUUUAAAGAAUAAUUUUUUUCUUCCCUUGUCCUAGUACUUGGGAUCAAAUUCAGACCGGAUAGACUAAAAAUCAUUCCCAUCUGACGUCCAGGAAAAGGUCAAGAGUUAAAGGAGUACUGGCAGUGGUGCAGCAGUUCCCAGCUUGCAUCUACGCUGCUGGUAUGGGACUCCACAGUCCUUAGCCUGACUCUAUCUCCUGCUGCUCUGAGGGGAUUCCCUGGACAGAUCUUGGGCUUAGUUCUCUGCUUGCUGUGCUGGGAGUUGCUGAUGGCUGCUGUGCUUUGCUGAGAUUUUCUGAUCGAUGCUGCCUUCAGCCUGCUGUAUAUCUGGAAGUUGUGGACACUUCUAUGGCACAAAACCAGGCUGACUGCAUAGCUUCUGUGCAAUGAGUCAGCGGCUUGAAAGUACUACGAGAUUUUUGGCUGUGCUGAAAGUGGCUGUUGUGUAUGCUACAAACCUGAGACAUCUUAAACAUCAGUCUCACCACCCAUAUGAGUCACUUGUGUUGUUAAAUGAAUGCAAGAAGCUGAUGGAAAGCUAAGCAAUGUGCAGAAGACGUGAUGUAACUUCAUCAGGUAUGUAUUUUGUAUGUAGCUAGUAGACUUCUUUUUCUGGCUCAAGUAGUAUCAUAACUGAGAUCAGCAGCCAGCAAUGCAUUCUCUAUGCGUCUAGGGAAUUCAAAUUAUUGUUUUAUGGAGGAAGUGAUGGCCAUGCAGUUAGGUGUUUCCAUCUGUGCAAUCCUCUAUAAGGGUAUAGUGGUAAACAUGUAGCAUUAAACAUGUUUAUUGCAGAUGUGGG